rnacentral:rRNA from 1 species
CCUACGGGUGGCUGCAGUGAGGAAUAUUGGUCAAUGGCCGGAAGGCUGAACCAGCCAUGCCGCGUGAAGGUCAGUGCCCUUUGGGCGUUAAACUUCUUUUGUGCGGGAGCAAUAAUGGUCCCGUGUGGCCAGACGAGAGUACCGUACGCAUAAGCAUCGGCUAACUACGUGCCAGCAGCCGCGGUAAUACUGCGGAUGCAAGCGUUAUCCGGAUGUAUUGGGUUGAAAGGGUGCGUAGGCCGCAGGUCAAGCGUGCUGUGAAAGGUCCGGGCUCAACCCGGGCCUUGCAGUGCGAGCUGGGGUGCUUGAGUGUGCGGAAGGCAGGCGGAAUUCGUCGUGUAGCGGUGAAAUGCGUAGAUAUGACGAAGAACCCCGAUUGCGAAGGCAGCUUGCUGGAGCGGAACUGACGCUGAUGCUCGAAAGCGCGGGUAUCGAACAGGAUUAGAUACCCGAGUAGUC